rnacentral:rRNA from 1 species
UACGAAGGGAGCUAGCGUUGUUCGGAAUCACUGGGCGUAAAACGCACGUAGGCGGAUGUGUCAGUCAGGGGUGAAAUCCCGGAGCUCAACUUCGGAACUGCCUUUGAUACAGCACGUCUUGAGUCCGAUAGAGGUGGGUGGAAUUCCUAGUGUAGAGGUGAAAUUCGUAGAUAUUAGGAAGAACACCGGUGGCGAAGGCGGCCCACUGGAUCGGUACUGACGCUGAGGUGCGAAAGCGUGGGGAGCAAACAGG